rnacentral:rRNA from 1 species
AUUGAACGCUGGCGGCAGGCCUAACACAUGCAAGUCGAGCGGAGCGGCGGACGGGUGAGUAAUGCCUAGGAAUCUGACUGGUAGUGGGGGAUAACGUCCGGAAACGGGCGCUAAUACCGCAUACUAUCAGAUGAGCCUAGGUCGGAUUAGGUAGUUGGUGGGGUAAAGGCCUACCAAGGCGACGAUCCGUAACUCGUCUGAGAGGAUGAUCAGUCACCCUGGAACUGGGACACGCCCCAGACUCCAACGGGAGGCAGCAGUGGGGAACAUUGGACAAUGGGCGAAAGCCUGACCCAGCCAUGCCGGGUGUGUGAAGAAGGUCUUCGGAUUGUAAAGCACUUUAAGUUGGGAGGCGGUACCAACAGAAUAAGCACCGGCUAACUUCGUGCCAGCAGCCGCGGUAAUUC